rnacentral:rRNA from 1 species
GAUGAACGCUGGCGGCGUGCCUAAUACAUGCAAGUAGGACGCAGUUGCGAGCGGGUGAGUAACGCGUAGGUAUCUACCUGUUAGAGGGUGAUAACUAUUGGAAACGAUAGCUAAUACCGCAUCCUAGUAGAUGGAGCUUCGUUGUAUUAGCUAGUAGGUAGGGUAAUGGCCUACCUAGGCAACGCUACAUAGCCGAGCUGAGAGGGAGAUCGGCCAAACUGGGAAUGAGGAAAGGCCCAGACUCCUACGGGAAGCAGCAGGAGGGAAUCUUCGGAAAUGGGGGGAAAGCUGACCGAGGAACGCCGCGGGAGUGAAGUAGGUUUUCGGAGCGGAAAGGUCUGUUGUGAAGGGAGCGGUACUUAAACAAAAAGGGACGGCUAACUACGUGCCAGCAGCCGCGGUAAUAC